CGCGGGGUCUUUUGGGAAUUGCAGUUCCCGCUCCGCUCUGUCCCGUCACUGGACUUUUUGCCCUCUGUUGCGGGGUCCCUCAGGCGGCCACCCAGUGGGCACAAGCCCAGGCGGCGCUCUGACCCCGCGCUUCUUCCCUCUGCCUUUCAUUCCCAGCUGUCAACAUCCUGGAAGGGACUUCGAAUUCAACAUAUCCACAAUCAAGCUAAUGAUCUCUUUUUGACUCCAGAUGUGGACCUUCAUCCAGUGGGAUUUAGUUAAGGUCUAAUUCCAACUCAGAAAGGGAAACUGUCAUAAAAUUGUAUUUUUCAAACAUAUUUUAAAAAUCUUAUUUAAUGA
rnacentral:lncRNA from 1 species